rnacentral:rRNA from 1 species
UACGUAGGGACCGAGCGUUGUCCGGAAUCAUUGGGCGUAAAGAGCGUGUAGGCGGCUAUUUAAGUCCUGCGUGAAAUCCUGCGGCUCAACCGCAGACGGUCGUGGGAAACUGGAUGGCUAGGGUGCGGGAGAGGAGAGUGGAAUUCCCGGUGUAGCGGUGAAAUGCGCAGAUAUCGGGAAGAACACCCGUGGCGAAGGCGGCUCUCUGGAACGCAACUGACGCUGAGACGCGAAAGCGUGGGGAGCAAACAGG